AUGAGCUCCUGCAGUCCGCCGCCGCCCCGCGCGCUCCCGACCCCCCGCCGUCCUGCGCGCUCCGGCCGCCGUGCUGCUGCCGCCUGCUGGCUACCGCCACCGCGGUGCUGUCCGCCCUGGGCUGAGGUCUCUACACAGUCCCGGAUUCCACCGCCGGCCGCCGGGCCCUGCCUCCGCUGCGCCCAGCCGCCCACAAAUCCGCGUCGCCGUCCUACUCCCGGGCCGUCGCGCUGCACUCGAGCUUACUCUUCAGAAGAGAUGGGAGAUAGAGAAAGGCGAAUGGUGUUUGUCACAGUAGGGACGACAUGUUUUGAUGCUCUUGUCAAAGUGGUAGAUUCCGAGGAAGUCAAACAAGCACUACUGCAGAAAGGUUACACAGACCUUAGGAUUCAAAUGGGCCGAGGAACAUACACGCCAUCCAAGGCCUCGGGGAAUUCAAAUCUUCAAGUUGAGCAUUUCACCUUUUUACCAAGCAUAGCUGACAACAUACGAGAAGCAUCCUUAGUCAUCAGUCAUGCAGGUUCUGGCAGCAUAUUUGAGACGCUGCGAUUGGGCAAGCCUCUUAUCGUCGUUGUGAAUGAAGAUCUGAUGGACAAUCACCAAAGCGAGCUAGCAGAGGAACUGGCCGAGAGGAAUCACCUUUUGUGUGCCCAUCCACAAACGCUGCGAGAGACUGUCGAGGCGAUGGAUCUGAAUGCGCUCCAGCCUUACGUGCCAGGAGAGGCGAAGCCAGUUGUGGCACUGAUCAACCAAUUUCUUGGUUUCCCCGUCGAUUGA
rnacentral:rRNA from 1 species